CCCUGCCUUUUCGGAUCACAUCCAUCGCUUGGCUUAAAACAGGAUCUUUUCUUAAUUCCUCAUUUAUGCCACUAUCAUCAGAAUCUUAAAGCUACUACUAGAUUUCCUUGCACUUGAAGGCAGGGGUAGCCUGGACAAUGCAUUUGCUUUUGUGUUUUGUUCUGAUUGCCUGUAUUUUAUAUUUUACAUUUUAUUGUGCGAGUGCUACAAGAGGAGUAGAGCCCACUCUGAAGCUGACUGGCUGCCGUUGGGAAGUCCUAGUGUACAAGCCAAAGUUUGAUGUGAAAGGACAAUAAUUUGUUAGCAGAACAUGUGCCACCUUUAAAACUGAAUUGGUGAUCAAGCCACUACCCAAGGCAUCGGGACCAUACAUGGAGAGAUAAGUAAAACCUCAUACAUCAUUUGAUGAGAUUAUAUGGGAGUCAAGAACACGUGACAUGGUCUUGGGACACCGAUGUUUUAAGGGCCUUCAGCAGGAACAGGAUCCUCAACUCCAGGACAGGAGUCAGAAUAGAUUAAGUUGCGUGUAUAUAAAUGCGACACGGUUGCACUUCAACUGUAAUUAAGGAUAUUAUUGCUAUUAGCGUAAGCAUGGAAAACUAAUCUUCUGUGGGCUCCCCUCAAUUUUGAGAUCAUUGGAGGAAGACAAGCACGUGGCAUGACUCGCUGAUUUCACCAUGGCCAUAAUCGAAUGUCAGACGUUCUUCAGGAUCUCUAUAGAGAAACUGCCAGCUCCCUCAGAAGUGCCCUUCUUGAUCUCUGAGGAUAAGCAUCAGCAAGUCUACCUCUUGCACACCCCACCAAUUUAGGUACUGACACCCCAACAGUCCACAUAGAAAGAAGAGAUAUACAAUCUGGUGAGAACCUCAGAGCAACUGCUGUGCCCAGGCAGUCAUCAUUCAGAGGAUGUUGGAAACCAGGCACCUGUUCAGUGCCAGGUAGGAGAGGAUCCGGAGGUAUUGAUAAUUCACAUGCACAGGGAAGAACAGGCGCAGCGGACUGACAUCUGAGAGGCAAUGGCCCUUGUUGCCAAGUAGCUGCAACAGUAAAGUGAAUCAUGCAACUGUCUGGCUGCUCAAUCCAGCUGCCUAUCCUCACAAGGAGACUGGGCAGUGGCAGGAGGCUCCGAGCCAGUGAUGGAACCAUGCACAUCUGGACAAGACUCUGUAUUUUUCAUUUAGGACACAACAAUGGCAGCUGGAGCCAUACAACAACAAUUGAACCUGCCUGCUCACUCCCAAUCCUUGGAAGUUCAAGCCAAGAAGGGUCAACUUAUCUCUGGUAAGAAAACCCUUGGCAUAUCUUGUUUACCUCGACAUAUGCAUCUACGGGAUCAUGGAAUCAGAGGGUCACGCAACACAGAAAAAGACACUUC